GUAUGCGAUCAUACUAGCACUAAAGCACCGGAUGCCAUCAGAACUCCGAAGUUAAGCAUGCUUGGGCGAGAGUAGUACUAGGAUGGGUGACCUCCUGGGAAGUCCUCGUGUUGCAUUCC
rnacentral:rRNA from 1 species